UUAGCUAGUAUAUCAGCUAAAAUGAUAAUUUCAGUCGUCGGGUCCGCCAGGAACGCGUAGGGCCGUUCCUCUUCAUCCGCGACCGAGUUUCGCCCCGGGAGGCCACGCGACCCGCGUCGAACCGUCCGUCGACAAGUUCCUGGAUAUCCUCGAAGCUCGAGAACCGGGUCGUCGACACGGAGACUCCACCGAAAGGAAUUUCCUUCGCGUCGCACGAUGGAGCAGCCGAGCUCACCGACGGCCGAGCGUCCCGACGGCCCUCUAGACGCUCUAUCCCUCUAGACGCUCGAUCAUCCAGCGCGAACGGAUUUUUGAGCGCUCGACCUCUUCAACAGGGAUUCUCCGUCUCGAGGUGGAAUACGUGCGCGAGAAUCGUCGAGUCGCGGCGAACGGAAGACGUUCACGUCGGACGCGGAUACUUGGCCAGAUUCGCCGGCUAGGUCAAGGAGAGAGAAAAAGAGAUAGAGAGCGACGCCGAAAUAGAACGAGAGUAACCGUCGAUCACCGAGGAACGCGACCAAAGACGCGAACUGGGGCAAAAUGUGCGACGGGGACGACGGGCGAAUUUCCACACAGGCUCCUGUUUUCUAAGUACGGGAGCUUGGCCUCCUCGGUCGGAGCUUUCGCGACCCUUCGACAGCGACGAGCAGAGAUGGGCAAAACAGUCUCGUCUAGAUGGAAGUAUCGAAUCAGACUCGGGAUUCCCGAGCGAGAGGGGUUCCCUGUCUAAGAGACGCGCGGAAGAGGCAGCAUCGAGGAAAGGAAGAGAACCAACGAUCUCGUCGUCGACGUCUAGAGGCACCUCCGAGACAACUCUGCGCCUCUUAGACAGGAUCCGGCGACUUUUACUGUUCUAUAUAAUCAUCAAAAUGCAAGAGUGAUUUCUAAUUUGCCUCUUCACCUGUUAAUUACGAUGCUAUAUAUGUACAUACGUUACACAUGCUAAUGAACACGCUGACCGUCGGUAGUUCUAGUAAUAACUCUUCUACUCGUUACUCUUUUGAAUUACAGAACGAAGCGCGUUACUGUAAGCAAUUGAAAAUGUAAAUUUCAAUGUAAAUGUAACCCUCUGCGAUCCUACGGUCGAGCCUCGCUAACAGUAACGAACGUAAAUCGACGAAUCUGGCCCGCAAAGGGUUGCACAGAUAUCACGAAAUAAAAAUAAAACAA